GGCACAGUGGCCAAAUGAUAAAGCAUGGGUCUUGUAAACCAAUGAUCACAUGUUCAAACCCUGUCUGUGCUU